rnacentral:rRNA from 1 species
UACGUAGGGUGCAAGCGUUAUCCGGAAUUAUUGGGCGUAAAGAGCUCGUAGGCGGUUCGUCGCGUCCGGUGUGAAAGUCCAUCGCUUAACGGUGGAUCUGCGCCGGGUACGGGCGGGCUGGAGUGCGGUAGGGGAGACUGGAAUUCCCGGUGUAACGGUGGAAUGUGUAGAUAUCGGGAAGAACACCAAUGGCGAAGGCAGGUCUCUGGGCCGUUACUGACGCUGAGGAGCGAAAGCGUGGGGAGCGAACAGGAUUAGAUACCCUGGUAGUCCCUGAGCGGG